UACAGAUGAGAUGUAAGGGUACAUCAUCAUUAAAUGUGACCAACUCCAGAGCAUUCUACUGUCGAGAAUGUCUCUGAUGGGAUAUUGGUAUAAGUGACUCUUAGAGCUGAGAUCACCUCAGUGACUUGCAAGCAACUCACUGUACUUUGAUACUGGACUAACUGAAUUUCUAAUUCAGUGACGGAAGACUUUUGGGCAUAGUCAAGUACUUACGAAGUCAGAGUGUGAUCGAGAUGGGAUUGACCACUCCAAAAGUUGGAGAAGAAUGAGUCACUGUAUUUCAAAACCUUGGCCAGAGUAAUCCAUCAGAUGGAUUUGAUAUUUUGAAAUACAAUGUGGACAACCUGAUCAGAGUUGACAGUUGAACUCUGAGGUGUCUUAUGAUCAUUUUGGUCAAGAGGAUGAAUUAUAUGAAAACUAUAUCCGCAUGGGUUCUAAGGAUGUUGUUCUACACAUUCGACCUAUCCGAUCGUCGGAUACCAUUGCUAGAUGG
rnacentral:lncRNA from 1 species